UUAACGUCAAGGAACGGGAGAGUAGCAACGGAACCGUAUCAUUACAGCGAGCCGGAAAAGGUGGAAGCCGGUAUGAAAUCCGAUGUGAAGCGCACCCGGGAGACGGUUGAUCCAACGAUAAGAGCUUCUAGUAGAUCAGCCCGGCAGACACCGUUAUUUGUCAAUGGAGUGAAAUCGCGAUUUUGUGUAAGCUAGCUUUAGCUAUACAACCGAUUUACGAAGAGUGGUACCGCGGGAUAUCGAAGUUCUCGUCUCUUGA
rnacentral:ncRNA from 1 species